rnacentral:rRNA from 1 species
CCAGACUCCUACGGGAGGCAGCAGUGGGGAAUAUUGCACAAUGGGGGAAACCCUGAUGCAGCGACGCCGCGUGAAGGAAGAAGUAUUUCGGUAUGUAAACUUCUAUCAGCAGGGAAGAAAAUGACGGUACCUGACUAAGAAGCCCCGGCUAACUACGUGCCAGCAGCCGCGGUAAUACGUAGGGGGCAAGCGUUAUCCGGAUUUACUGGGUGUAAAGGGAGCGUAGACGGCCAUGCAAGCUCGGUGUGAAAGGUGCGGGCACAACCCGCAGACUGCACUGAGAACUGUAUGGCUGGAGUGCCGGAGGGGCAGGCGGAAUUCCUGGUGUAGCGGUGAAAUGCGUAGAUAUUAGGAAGAACACCAGUGGCGAAGGCGGCUUUCUGGACUGAAACUGACGCUGAGGCACGAAAGCGUGGGGAGCGAACAGGAUUAGAUACCCCGGUACCC